AUGUCUGUCAGCACACCCAUAACCACCUCAGGGCAGACAGAGGCUAUGUUACCUCAUGUUUCGGUUUCAGAAGACAGCAUUGAGGUUGGGUGUCUGGUCUGCAGGCUGCCGCUCUUUGAGGUUCACAGGGCACCUUCUUCUGGUGCUGCACACUCUAUUGUGAGUCACCGGAGGAGUUAUUUAAGUUUAAGCUUAACCAGAACAGCAUGCUCAAGACAAGGCUGCUGGGGAGAGGCGAUGGCUGACGGGUGGCGCAUCCUGUGGUCUGCAUGGCUGGGACCGCAGAUGUGUUGUCUGUGCUGUACAAAUGUCAGAAAUCCUACUCAUAAUAUAUUUGGACUGUUUGUGCAAGGAAGGCUGUUUUUCAUUUCUGCUGAGCACUGCUGCAGCUGCAAUUGCUGGUAUCCUGAUCAACUUAAUCAUUCAUUUCACCUUUACAAUGAAGUGGAGAGGGGAAGCAUGAGUGCAUGUGAA
rnacentral:lncRNA from 1 species